rnacentral:rRNA from 1 species
GAUGAACGCUGGCGGCGUGCCUAAUACAUGCAAGUCGAGCGAACAGACGAGGAGCUUGCUCCUCUGACGUUAGCGGCGGACGGGUUAGUAACACGUGGAUAACCUACCUAUAAGACUGGGAUAACUUCGGGAAACCGGAGCUAAUACCGGAUAAUAUAUUGAACCGCAUCGUUCAAUAGUGAAAGACGGUUUUGCUGUCACUUAUAGAUGGAUCCGCGCCGCAUUAGCUAGUUGGUAAGGUAACGGCUUACCAAGGCAACGAUGCGUAGCCGACCUGAGAGGGUGAUAGGCAACACUGGAACUGAGACACGGUCCAGACUCCUACGGGAGGCAGAAGUAGGGAAUCUUCCGCAAUGGGCGAAAGCUUGAAGGAGCAACGACGCGUGAGUGAUGAAGGUCUUCGGAUCGUAAAACUAUGUUAUUAGGGAAGAACAAAUGUGUAAGUAACUAUGCACGUCUUGACGGUACCUAAUCAGAAAGCCACGGCUAACUACGUG